rnacentral:rRNA from 1 species
GCCUGUUUUACAAAAACAUGUCUUUUUGUAAAUAAUAUAAAGUUUAAUCUGCCCACUGAUUUAAUUAUUAAAGGGCUGCAGUAUUUUGACUGUACAAAGGUAGCAUAAUCAUUAGUCAUUUAAUUGAUGACUUGUAUGAAAGAUUGGAUGAAAUAUAUACUGUCUCUUAUUUAUAAUAUAAAAUUUAAUUUUUUAGUUAAAAAGCUAAAAUUAAUUAAAAAGACGAGAAGACCCUAUAGAGUUUUAUAAAUUAUAAUUAUUAAGAUUAUUUAUAAAAUUAAUAAUUAAAAUAAUUUAAUUUAAUUUGUUGGGGUGACAAAAAAAUAAAAAUAACUUUUUUUUUAUAAAACAUAAAUAAGUGAAUAAUUGAUCCAAUAUUAUUGAUUAUAAGAAAAAAUUACCUUAGGGAUAACAGCGUAAUUUUUUUUUUUAGUUCAUAUAAAAAAAAGAGUUUGCGACCUCGAUGUUGGAUUAAGAUAAAAUUUAAAUGCAGAAGUUUAAAAUUUUUGAUCUGUUCGAUCAUUAAAAUCUUACAUGAUCUGAGUUUCAACCGG